CACGUAGGCGGACUUUUAAGUCAGGGGUGAAAUCCCGGGGCUCAACCCCUGAACUGCCUUUGAUACUGGAAGUCUUGAGUAUGGUAGAGGUGAGUGGAAUUCCGAGUGUAGAGGUGAAAUUCGUAGAUAUUCGGAGGAACACCAGUGGCGAAGGCGGCUCACUGGACCAAUACUGACGCUCAUGCACGAAAGCGUGGGGAGCAAACAGGAUUAGAUACCCUUGUA
rnacentral:rRNA from 1 species